rnacentral:sRNA from 1 species
CCCUGCGAUGUCAGCUCCUUGAGUGUUUAUGGGAGACAGUGCUGAGUCCUCCACUCCACCUGUGACCCAGGUCCCCUCUGCCCUCAGGUUUCACCCUCAACAGCCAGGUGCAGCAGACCAUUGCCCUGCGGUAUGCGUGCAGCAAGCUCGGCAUCAACUUUGACAGCUUCGUGGCUUGUAUGAUCCGCCUGGAGACCCUCUUCAAACUAUUCAGCCUUCUGGACAAAGACAAGGAUGGCAUGGUGCAGCUCUCUCUGGCUGAGUGGCUGUGCUGCGUGUUGGUCUGACCCGGGGUUUCGGACAUCAGUGACACUCCCUGCCCCACUGCUUGCCUCUUGUCACCCCUUCUCUACAAUUUUGUGAACAUUUAUGCUCCAGUGGCAUUCACUGGUUGUUCAUACCUUUCUUGCCCUGGGUCUCUUUCAGCAGCACUGAGCUAUGAGCUAUAUAAGCCGACCCGGUGGGCCCAGUGGAG